GAUGAAGAACGUAGCGAAAUGCGAUACGAAAUGUGAAUUGCAGAAUUCAGUGAAUCAUCGAAUCUUUGAACGCAUAUUGCGCUCUCUGGUAUUCCGGAGAGCAUGCUUGUUUGAGUAUCAGUAAACACCUCAACUCCCUUUUCUUUUUUGAAAUUGGAGCUGGACUUGAGUGAUCCCAACGCUUUCUUCCAAGAAAGUGGCGGGUUGCUUGAAAUGCAGGUGCAGCUGAACUUUUCUCUGAGCUAUAAGCAUAUCUAUUUAGUCUGCCUAAAAAACAGAUUAUUACCUUUGCUGCAGCUAACAUAAAGGAGACUAGUUCUUGUGCUGACUGAUGCAGGAUUCACAGAGACAGCUUCGGCUGACUUUGUAAACUCGAUCUCAAAUCAAGUAAGACUACCCGCUGAACUUAAGCAUAUCAAUAAGCGGAGGA
rnacentral:misc_RNA from 1 species